CCGUGGGAGGGAAGGCAUUCUCUGUCAAGCUGCUGUCACCUUACCUGAAGUAAGGAGUCCACGCCUGCAUGUCCGAGGAAAACAGUUUUCUCAAACACAUUAGUUGAAAAACUGAAGACACUGCCUAAAAUACAAGCUGAGUUAGAGACAGCCCUUGUAAGACUAGGAAAGGCCUUGUGAGGACAUAACCAGGAAGGAGAGUCCUCACCAGAACCUGACCAUACCGGCACCCUGAUCUCAAACUUCCAGCUUCCAGAACCAUGAGAAAUCAAUGUUUGUUGUUUUAGCCACCCAGUCUAUAGAAAUUUGUUAUAGCCACCCUAGCUGACUACCACAUUGGACAUCACAGCAAACACUACAACCAAUAAAAGAAAUGGCUGAAAUCCUUUGGAACCAAUAUGACCAACUGGAGUCGGUGCAGAAGGAGCUUGCUGACAACACAGCCUGAAUUUCCACUGUAUGUUUCAUACCAACUCCUCCUGAAUUUGCACAUGUGAUACAUGAGAUAGCAUGAAGAGAUAACUGAGCAUGCCCAAGGACUUUCCAGACUUCCGCUUUCCUUCCACCAAUCACCUGCUAAUCUCAGAAUCCACCCCCUGAAACUUUUCUAAUAAAAAUACUGUUUUGAAGCCAGCACGGGGAGACA
rnacentral:antisense_RNA from 1 species